AAUAUUCUCAACACAAAAAGGCGUUGAGACAGGUCACGUGCCCAGCAUGUGAUCGUGAGCACGCGUAGGUUAUUGAAAUUUCGUGAGCCCGCUGCCCGCCUAUGUUGAAAUUUUGGGAGAAAAAGCGGUUCCCUUCUCCGUAAACUUUCAAAACACUUUUUCUUGCCCAAUUCAGAUAUUCAUCCCCAAAAUUUUCAUUCUUUCUCUAUCUUCUCUAAUCUUUACAGCCCACUUUCUCUCUCUAUUUUUUUCUACUUCUUCCUCUCAUUAUUUCUGGAAGAUCUCAUUUUUGGUUUGCUCAAUAAUCUGAAUUUCGAAUUAGGAAAAAUGAACAACACCACCAAGACCUUUGAUUUGGGAGAUUGUGAACUGUUAUCUGACCGAGUAAAGCACGAACCUCUUGAAGCUAUUAAUUCAAGGUACUCUUGUUUGCUCUUUUGAACCUUACAAAAUGAACAUGCGUAAAUGACACAAAUCAAAUACAUUCACUACUACAAAAAUCUGAUUUUCUCGACACUAUAGCCUCCACAC